UACUCCCUUUUUUUCCCAAUUGACCGCCAAAAUCCUUACUCCCUGAUGGAAAAGAAUGAGCGCUAAAACGAGAGAUGCUUAUGUCCCUUUCUUCACAUGUUUCUCAUUCAUUCAAGCGUUUCCUUUUUAUUUUCUCACAUACGCUUCUUUUUGCAAUUAUUUGUAACCCUAAUUAUCUUUGUCUUCCCCAUUCUCUCUUCUCCCUGUUCUGUGCCUUUCAUCUUCUUCCAUUAAUCGUCUGUGUUGGUCCUCAUCAACAUCUUUCAUUACAACGACGUUCAACUAGGAUUUCUACCAGCUUUAGGGACGCCAACAUCUUCUACUGAUUAUCUUCGAUUCGAGGUAAGUUUGUGUUUCUAAUUCGUCUUUGAUUUCCCUUUAAACUUGUGCGACCAGAUUGCUUUUUUCUUUCAAGAAUUAGGGUUUCUAGGUGACGGGGCGAUGUCAGCGAUAUGAGGGUUGGGGAGCAGUGACAUGGAGGCCGACAUGGAGGACGAUCGUGGUGUUUAUAGUUUCGAUAAAGGUUUGUAGAGGCGGUGGUUGUUGGCGGCAAUGAUGGGUAUUUUAGGCUAGGGUUAACGACACCAGCCUAACUCUCGUGACUCACUACCAUUCAAACCUUUGGUGGUUUACAACAAUGAACAUUGUGGGGUAAGCAACCAAGCACUCUUCUUUUUUCGCUGAUUAUUAUUCUAAUUUUCACUCAUUUUGAUUCUACCAAGUUCUAUGAACGAGGAAUCCAUUAAUCGAUUUCAACUGGUAUGUAUGUCACAAACACCUUUAAUUCCAUUGAUCACGGCAUUGUUUUUAGAUUGAUUUUUUUUUAUUGUUGCAGCGUCUUGAAUAUGUUUAGAAAAUAGCGUUUUUUUUUCUUAAUGGUUAUGAUAUUAUGAAGAAUUGGGUUUUUUUUUUUUCAUAAAUUAGGUUUUCUUUGUUAAUGUUCAGAAAUUAAAAUUAUUUUAGUUCGAUUGGUGAGAUGAUUGUUUUAAGAAAGAAUAUUGGUUGACUUUGCUUCUAAUGUUGUUCGGAGAUGAUGAAGAAUCCCCUGCAUCUGACUUCUUAGACUACAAUAGGUGAAUUCAGUACCAGGAUGUUGGCGAUUAACAAGACCCUAUUCAACUUAAUAUUCUAAUGAUCAUUAUUUGCAAAUAAUUGUUUAGUUGUUUUAGAACUUUUUGACAGUAUUAAUAAAGGACAAAAAAAGAUAAAAAAACUUGGUUGAACAUGGUGAGGGUUCACAAUACGACGGCCUCGGACGGUGAAUAAUCACCUGACACCAAAGUUUUAGAGUAAAAGUUUAAAGGGUACACAACUAAGAACAUCAAAUUCGCCUUAUAAGAGGUUUGUCUGUUUGUUUGUUUUUUUGCCAAUUUAAACUUAUAAAUAAACUUUUUUUUUUUGAAUUCAAUAUUUUGUAAUUGGACAGGUGAUGAUGACAAUAUUACUUUGAUUGUUUAAAAGCUUCUGCGCUUUUAGGGUUCAACAUUUGAUUCUCAAUGAGAGGUUAUGUUGUUAGUGAAGCCUCUGCGCUUUUGUUUUGGCAACAUGUGUUUGCACUCUUUUCACUUUCGUUUUACAUAUUCGCCUACUCUAAACUGGUAUCGGUUGUAUAAAGCGCGUUUUGGAUUUUGUAAGAGGCCUUUAAAUCUCGUGAAAGACGGCGAAAAAGAAAGCAUGAUGAUUCAACAUUGGGAACCGUAUAAAUUAAUCAGCAUAUCUGAACUGUUGGAUGAUGGCCAGGGCUACUUAAGCAACAAUCUUGAUGAUGUUUUCAAAACUUUGUAGAACGCGGUUGAAGAUUCUUGGCUUCAUUCAACUGGUUCUGAAGAAUGGAGUUGAAGUGAAGCUGCAAAGGAAUGCUUUGAGUGUUCUUGAACCACCAACUGGUCAUGAAGAAAAUGAUGAAUACGAAUUUGAUAUUUCAAGCAGUAGCUCAGAUAGUCGAGUCCAUUUGAAGAUUGUUUUAUCUAAAAUUAUCGCUAGGGGUUUUACUUGAUUCCUGUAACAUAUGUUGUUUUUACUUAGGACAAUUUUAAAAUUUAUUGUUAUAUCUUUACGCAGAACUUCGUUGAUCUAGAAUUUAAGAAGAUGGCGAUCAAAAUAUGCGAUCCAGUCGUCUGUACCUAGCGAAGGUGUGUACGAUUAAGUGGGGCCUGGCGUCAUUGUGAGUUUAAAGUUCUUCAUUUUGGUUAAUUUAGUGAUCUUCGUCUGCCAUCUCAAGCAUUCCAUCAGUUUUUUCCUAUCCCUCAUCCUCUGUCCAGAGGAAAAAAAGACAGAUAAUGGUUGACGAUUCUUCGUUGAGGAAACCAAAUGGCGAUGGAGAUGGAGACUACAGGCCAAACGCGACAGGAAAAGAAAAAACCAUACUGAUGACGUUACUGGUAGACUUUCCACUUCAUUAAAGCAUCUCCCAAACGCUUUAAUGUUGUAUUUAACAUCGGUACUCCUUCCUUUUUUCUCAAUCAUUGUGUUAAGUUUGCUUUUGAGAAAUUAUGUAUGCUUAAUUAAUUAUAUAUUUGUUCGUUAUGAAUGGAAUUUCCGACAUGGUGCCGAUUGAAGGAUUGUUUUCGAUUCGAUUUUACUUGCCUAAUGAACAAGUUCUGUAUUAUCAGACAAUUUUAUUAGGAUAUAUGGCCUUGGAUAGUUGAUUAUAGUGAUAUGUUUAUAGUAUAUAUGUUGUUUAUUUUUCUAAUUUUUCAUUAUAAGGAGGAAUAGGAGAUGAAAAUGCUUCUACAAGGGUGUUGCGUAUGUGCGAAACAUUCUUUGAAGACAACGAGAUCGUUGGAGAAUGAAAAGUUAGUUGUUGUACCAAACUCAUCGGACAAGUUCAAAGUUUUCGAGAGUUUUGGUCUAUGGUGGUGAGCAUGGGCUUAUCUGAGAGGUUUUAUGAAGUUGUAUUCUGGUUCCGAUUAUUAUAAGCCCUAAUGUUGUAAGCUCAAUGAUGGCGAGCCAAGGAUCGGUUGAAGGCUUCUUGAAUGUGUAAGUUAGUGCUAUGUUGGUUGCUAAGGGAAAAUAUAUGUGGGAACGUAUAUUUUUAUAUUAUCAACCGGGAACUUCUUAAAGCUUUACCAAUUUGUACGCUUGGCUUUAAGUAAGUUUUGGGCAUUUAUUUGUCGAAUGCCAUUCUGACCUGUUUCUAAGGUUUCUAGAGCAAGCCACAUGUAUGUGCUCUCCUUGCUUUAUCUUCUCAUGGUCGCAUGGCUCUUUUUGCCGAUAGACUACCAUUUCCGGACCUACUAAUGUCUGAUUUUCAAGACAUAGAACGGUGUUUCUAGAGGUUGUAUUUUCUCAUAAGGCUAUGAUGAGUCAAUACAUUUGAUUAUAAAGUUGAUGAUAUUGCCUUGGCAUGAUAGGGUUCAAGGAUGGCAGUUCAUUACUUGCAACCUUCCCUUCAACCAUGGUGGUAUUGUUGUUUUCUAGACUCUGAGCCUAUCAUAAGCAUAUUUGCCUCGACUAAAGUUUUCGUUUUAACUAUCCGAUGGUGCUUGGCUUUGUUUUGGUUUAAACUAAUAGAACAAACAAGAAAGUAGCGGGGGUUGAGAAGCUUCCGUUGUCUGUUGAGAUCAAACUCUCUCGAUCCAAUCGAACCUAUCGCCCCAAUCUAACAUGCGAAUGCACAACCUACACCUUACAGAUUUCAGCAACUUAAUUAACUAUUCUGUCAAUAGCCACUACGGGGAAACUUCAUCACCAGAUUACUUUCUUCCAUUUCUGACCUUGGAAUCCAUAUAACCAUCAACAAUUCUAUAAAUCUGCAGGUUCGUGGAGGUUCAGUUGGAUUCAUUGAAUUGAUUUACGGUGUUUUGAAGCAUAUUUGAAUAGUGUGUACUGUUGCACAACAAAUAUGGGCUUUCAUAGAAACCUGGUGCAAGCUAAGCCGAUUUUAUAUUCUUGAGCUUAAAUAUUUGGUUGGUAUACAAAAUAAAUGCCACGGGUCAAGGAAAUGGAGACGCGCAAUAUUAUCGGUCAUGCAGACAGCCCUAUGAAAUUAAAACGUAUGGCUUCCUAUGGGUUAAAAACAGGGCAAAAUGCAAUGCGUUGUCGUGGGAAGAUUGAUGUAAUUUCGAGUUACACUCUAUGGGGGUGUGAUGUAAUGUUUUUAUUUGGUAAACUAUGUAAUAUCUCCGGGUUAACAUUUUUGUUGACCGGUUAAUUUGAAUAAAAUAUUUUGUUGGCCGUUAAAAAAAUAUAUUUGUAGUAGUAAUGAAGGUGGGUUAACUAGAA